rnacentral:rRNA from 1 species
GAAUAGCAUAUCAAUAAGCGGAGGAAAAGAAACCAACAGGGAUUGCCCUAGUAACGGCGAGUGAAGCGGCAACAGCUCAAAUUUGAAAUCUGGCGUCUUUGGCGUCCGAGUUGUAAUUUGCAGAGGGCGCUUUGGCAUUGGCAGCGGUCCAAGUUCCUUGGAACAGGACGUCACAGAGGGUGAGAAUCCCGUACGUGGUCGCUAGCCUUUACCGUGUAAAGCCCCUUCGACGAGUCGAGUUGUUUGGGAAUGCAGCUCUAAAUGGGAGGUAAAUUUCUUCUAAAGCUAAAUACUGGCCAGAGACCGAUAGCGCACAAGUAGAGUGAUCGAAAGAUGAAAAGCACUUUGGAAAGAGAGUUAAAAAGCACGUGAAAUUGUUGAAAGGGAAGCGCUUGCAGCCAGACUUGCCUGUAGUUGCUCAUCCGGGUUUUUACCCGGUGCACUCUUCUAUGGGCAGGCCAGCAUCAGUUUGGGCGGUUGGAUAAAGGUCUCUGUCACGUACCUCCUCUCGGGGAGAACUUAUAGGGGAGACGUAAUGCAACCAGCCUGGACUGAGGUCCGCGCAUCUGCUAGGAUGCUGGCGUAAUGGCUGUAAGCGGCCCGUCUUGAAACACGGACCAAGGAGUCUAACAUCUAUGCGAGUGUUUGGGUGUCAAGCCCGAGCGCGUAAUGAAAGUGAACGGAGGUGGGAACCUUUCGGGGUGCACCAUCGACCGAUCCUGAUGUCUUCGGAUGGAUUUGAGUAAGAGCAUAGCUGUUGGGACCCGAAAGAUGGUGAACUAUGCUUGAAUAGGGUGAAGCCAGAGGAAACUCUGGUGGAGGCUCGCAGCGGUUCUGACGUGCAAAUCGAUCGUCAAAUUUGGGCAUAGGGGCGAAAGACU